rnacentral:tRNA from 2 species
GCCCCUGUAGCUCAGUGGACAGAGCGUUAGCCUCCGGAGCUAAAAAGGGCAGUUCGAGUCUGCCCAGGGGCA